rnacentral:lncRNA from 1 species
CAGGGCUCGGUGGGGCUGGAGUCCAUAAAACCUGAAGUGACUCCUCCCGAGCGCCCUUGGGCUCUCCUGUCUCUUGGAAGUGGACAGCAGGGCCACAGGUGUGCGCCACCACAGCCACCCGAGCCAGAUUCCCCUCUGCUGAGAAGCCCGGGCUGUGGGCGGCCUCCUCAGCCUGCGUCUGCUGGGCCGGGCCCAGACGUGGACCAGCCCCCUCGCUGGAGGAGGGAUGCAGCUCUGCCCUACGAGGAUCUCACUAAGUUGUCCAGGCUGACUUCAAACUUGCAAUCCUCCUGCCUCAGCCUCCCGAGCAGCCAUCCUCCGAGCUGGUUUUCGCAGGACCCUCGACCCCUAGUGUGGUCACUCUGUCCCUUCUCCUGUGGCCGCCUCUCAAGACUUCUCUGGGUGACGGCACCCGUAUCUCCCUCCCUCGGCCGCUGUCCCCACCAAGGUCCCGAGGCUGGCCACGUGCGUCCAACCCCCUUUCAUCUCUGCCCUCGCGCUUGUCAGGCACCCACGUGGCAUUGGCACUGUGGCCCUGGGCCCGGCCUUGGGCUCUCUGAGGUCAACACCACGCACAUCUGGACCUUGAGGACAAGUGGCCCGGGUAAGAUGGCCAGGGCAAGCUGGGGCCAAAGGAGGGGGUGGCAUCAGGCCCAGGCCGGCCAAGGCCUCAGCAAAGUGACUCCCCCUUUCCAAGGACCGCCAACAUCACUAGGACCACAGCAAUCCCUAGUGCAAGGAAUCAAUAAAUGUGUAUUAAUUCAGGAGUUGCUACCUGAUGCCUAAUGCAUGAAUUCGCUAACUGAUGACUUCAAGCAUUCACCGAGUACCCGCCUGGUUGUGAGAGAGGAGAGACCAGCGUCUCCCUCCAGGAACCUGC